rnacentral:snoRNA from 1 species
CCCAGCUCUAAGUCAGCUGACCAGGCAGUCUGUGUCUGGCUCAGUGUUACAGUGCUGGUAGAGGAAGUCUCUGUACUUUGACUCGGAUCUGCUGGCUCUGUUUUAGAGUCUGCUGCAUCUUGAGUUGUCGCAGAGCACAGCCCAACGAGAGUGGCCUGUCCUGAUCAACAGCAGGGCAGGCCUAGUGUAGGGCCGCACAUU